rnacentral:rRNA from 1 species
GUCCACGCCCUAAACGAUGUCAACUGGUUGUUGGGUGGGUAACCACUUAGUAACGAAGCUAACGCGUGAAGUUGACCGCCUGGGGAGUACGGUCGCAAGAUUAAAACUCAAAGGAAUUGACGGGGACCCGCACAAGCGGUGGAUGAUGUGGUUUAAUUCGAUGCAACGCGAAAACCUUACCUACACUUGACAUGCCAGAAAUCCCGCAGAGAUGUGGGAGUGCCGCAAGGAAUCUGGGCACAGGUGCUGCAUGGCUGUCGU